GACGAACGCUGGCGGCGUGCCUAAUACAUGCAAGUAGAACGCUGAAGAGAGGAGCUUGCUCUUCUUGGAUGAGUUGCGAACGGGUGAGUAACGCGUAGGUAACCUGCCUUGUAGCGGGGGAUAACUAUUGGAAACGAUAGCUAAUACCGCAUAACAAUGGAUGACACAUGUCAUUUAUUUGAAAGGGGCAAUUGCUCCACUACAAGAUGGACCUGCGUUGUAUUAGCUAGUAGGUGAGGUAAUGGCUCACCUAGGCGACGAUACAUAGCCGACCUGAGAGGGGGAUCGGCCACACUGGGACUGAGACACGGCCCAGACUCCUACGGGAGGCAGCAGUAGGGAAUCUUCGGCAAUGGGGGCAACCCUGACCGGGCAACGCCGCGUGAGUGAAGAAGGGUUUCGGAUCGUAAAGCUCUGUUGUAAGUCAAGAACGGGUGUGAGAGUGGAAAGUUCACACUGUGACGGUAGCUUACCAGAAAGGGACGGCUAACUACGUG
rnacentral:rRNA from 1 species